UACGUAGGGGGCAAGCGUUGUCCGGAAUCAUUGGGCGUAAAGCGCGUGUAGGCGGCUCGAUAAGUCUGCUGUGAAAGUUCAGGGCUCAACCCUGAAAUGCCGGUGGAAACUGUCGGGCUGGAGUCCGGAAGAGGCGAGUGGAAUUCCUGGUGUAGCGGUGAAAUGCGCAGAUAUCAGGAGGAACACCAAUGGCGAAGGCAGCUCGCUGGGACGGUACUGACGCUGAGACGCGAAAGCGUGGGGAGCAAACAGG
rnacentral:rRNA from 1 species